AUUGAACGCUGGCGGCAGGCCUAACACAUGCAAGUCGAGCGGUAGAGAGGUGCUUGCAUCUCUUGAGAGCGGCGGACGGGUGAGUAAUGCCUAGGAAUCUGCCUGGUGGUGGGGGAUAACGUUCGGAAACGGACGCUAAUACCGCAUACGUCCUACGGGAGAAAGCGGGGGAUCUUCGGACCUCGCGCCAUUAGAUGAGCCUAGGUCGGAUUAGCUAGUUGGUGAGGUAAUGGCUCACCAAGGCGACGAUCCGUAACUGGUCUGAGAGGAUGAUCAGUCACACUGGAACUGAGACACGGUCCAGACUCCUACGGGAGGCAGCAGUGGGGAAUAUUGGACAAUAGGGCGGCAAGCCUGAUCCAGCAAUGCCGCGUGCAGGAUGAAGGCCUCGGUUGUAAC
rnacentral:rRNA from 1 species